GCGCAGCAGGCGAGAAACUUCACACUGUGCGAAAGCACGAUGAGGGAAUCCCAAGUGCUUGCACGUAAGUGUAAGCUGUUUCUCUGUCUAAAACGCAGAGAGAGUAAGGGCUGGGUAAGACGGGUGCCAGCCGCCGCGGUAAUACCUGCAGCUCAAGUGGUGACCGUUAUUAUUGGGCCUAAAACGUCCGUAGCCGGUUUAAUAAAUGCCUGGGUAAAUUGUGUAGCUUAACUAUACGAAUUCCGGGUAGACUGUUAAACUUGAGACCGGGAGAAGUUAGAGGUACUCCUGGGGUAGAGGUGAAAUUCUGUAAUCCUAGGGGGACCACCAGUGGCGAAGGCGUCUAACUAGAACGGGUCUGACGGUGAGGGACGAAGCCCUGGGGCGCAAACGGGAUUAGAUACCCGGUAGU
rnacentral:rRNA from 1 species